AGCCACGUGAUGAGCGUAGAGUGAACUAUUCUUUCGCCUUUUACUAAAGAAUAUAGUGUGCUCGCCGCAAGUAGUGGCAUAUGCCUAUUUUUGGAGGGCUUCUUCCCAAAAGGGU